CAGAGGAAAUGAUAGAGGUUAACAGUACUAUCACUUGACGAAGGUUAAUUCAUGUUAUGGGUUAAUGACACCCCACUCUGUAUUACGUGCUUAGUUUUGUUUAAUCAGUCUCAUAAAUGUUUUACAUAAAUUUUGGCAAUUAAAACAACUAAGGUCAUUGAAUUUGCUAUUCCAACAUUACGCACAACGAAACAAAAAACAACAACAAACAGCGGUAAAAUGACCCAAUCAGGUGAUGCAUCAGCUCGUCAGCUGGUCCAAGGUUUGUGGCAGGUGCACAGGUACUCUUGAGAAACUUCUUCUUUAAAGUCGUGGUCGUGAUGGGUUCCAGUCAAGGUGACUUGGAAUGUGCACAAAUCUUCCACUUGGGUCUGGCCGCAAGGGAGAUAUUGGAGGAAAAGUCUGUACUUGCUGUCGAAGGGAAAUAAACCAGCUUGGUUUAUUUCGUGGACGGUAGCAGGCCAACUCUGUCUCAAUGAUCAGACGAGAUUUGUGUUGGGGCUUCUUAUUUUGACUUGAGAGUGAAAAGAUACUGUUUCAUCAGUAAAAAAAAAACUAGGAAACAUGCCUCUGUUUGAUAUAUUGGAACAAUUCUACAAAAUAAAUUUACAUUUUUUCACCCCAA